ACGCGGCACCCCCGAGCCGAGCCGGGCCGGGCCGAGCCGGGCCGGGGCCGCCCGGGUCACUCGGCACCUGUUCGCCCGGCGCUCAUGGGGCGCCGGCACAGCCCCGGCGCAGGCAGGCGGCCCCCGGCGGGGUUUUUUUGUUGUGGUGGUGCCGCUCCGGGCGGGGGGGCGGGGGCCGGCCGGGGGCUGGGCGGGGGGGGCUCUGCGCGGUGGGAAGCGGGGCGGGUGGAGGGCUCCGCGCUGCGCAGCGGCGGAGCGAGGCAGGAUAUCCCGGCGGCUGCGGCGGCGGCGGCGGCGGAGAGGGAGCUUCGGCCGGAGAGAAAGAAUUAAAAUCCCAUCCUUAGCAAAUCUCCGCUCGGCCCCGCGCUGCGCCCGCGUUCAUCCUGGAUAGCGCAGGUGAAGGGGAAAAAUGGAAAGAAGAAGGAGAGAAAAAAAAAGAAGCGAGCCCUCCCUCCUGCUCCUUCCUGCAGGCUGUGGCGGGCUGUGUCCGUCCGGGCUGUGCCUCCCGAGCAGCGCAGGAGGGAGGGAGCACUGAAGGGCAAACCGCUCUCCUCGUUCCCCUUUAUUCCAGGGCUGGGCGCGCUGCUGUCCCCGCUCCGGGCACGGAGGUGCUGGAAGGAAAGAAAGUUCUUACCUGCUAUUUUCUAAGCUUAAUACAUCCGAUCCGAGGGUUUAGUACAAAUUUUUGUUAAAGAAAAAAAAAAUCAUAAUUAUAUAUUUUUUUAAAAAAAAUGUAAUGCUCCGUAAGCAUUUCACUUCUUCGUAUUCCGUCCCACUGAAUUUGGUGAUGCCCUUUUAAGGUUUUUCAUCCAUUGAUUCACUCCCAGCAGAUGGAGGAGGGGGGGGGGGGGGGGGGGGGGGGGGGGGGGGGGGGGGGGAAGCGAAAAGAUGUAGGAGAUGGGAGAUGGGCUCGGCCGCUGGACUGGAGGAGAGCAAGCUCGGUCCCAGGAGGGCUGCGAGGGAAGGAGGCGGCUCUCGGGCGCUGUGCCGGGGUGAUGCUCGCACGCAGGACUCCUCGGGUGCGGGGGAGCCUUUGGGGGACCCUUCGGGCUGAUCCGGCUGCCAGGCGUGCAAAGUAUGAAGACAAGUGCUGA
rnacentral:lncRNA from 1 species